rnacentral:lncRNA from 1 species
CCUGGUUCUGAGAUGUGGGGAGUGCGGGCGGGCUCGAGAGUUGCCUGGAGGCUGCUGCCUGCACACAGAAGGCGGCUGCAGCUUGGGUGCCCAGGCGGGCUGGAGGUGCAUGGCCUGGUCGGCCUCGGGAUCGCCAGCGCGCCCAGCCUGAGGGCCCCCAGGUCGUGCCUCCCGCCCACUCCUCCACCUGAGGGGGAUUGGGGCCGCUGGCAUGGGCACUCGGCAGUCACCCCGUGUGGGGUUGAGCGGCGGGUUCUCGGUUCUGCUCCUGUGCAGCCGCCGCUGGGCAGAAUGCCUGGCUUGGCUGCAGCCACUGGGACACCUGGCCCUGGUUCUGCGAUGCUGGGAGCGCGAGCGGGCUCGGAGGUUGCCAGGCAGCUGCUGCCUGCACACAGAGGGCGACUGCAGCUUGGGCGCCCAGGCGGCGGAGCAUGGUCUGGGUGGCCUCUGGAAUGCGUGCGCGCCAGACCUGAGGGCCCUCCUGCUGGUGCCACCUGACCCGGUCUUCCUCUGCUGGAGCCUGGAGCAGCUGGAAUGGCCACUCUGCAGUCACAGGGGAUAGAGUUAAGUUUUCUUAUCCCAGGCAUGCACACAAAAAGGUGAAAUGCUCAUUGCAGUGCUGCAAAAAGGUGAGGUCACAGGACACAAACCCAUAUCUGAGACCUGGAUGCCUUCCUCCACGCACUCACCCACUGGCUGUCCUGAGCAUCACCCUGCACCUAUUGUCACAGCAACAAGGGAAAAAUCAGGUGAGUAUUUUCUAUUUCAGUCUAGAAGGCAUAGCCUGCAAAGGAAGGAAGUGUGCUGGGAGAUGGAGCAGGGUCUUUUGUCUGGAAAACGGAAUUCUGGGCUAGAAACUAAGUCGGUGCCAACGCAAUGCAGGGAAGGGGAAAUCAUCACUGGGUCG